AUUGAACGCUAGCGGCAUGCCUUACACAUGCAAGUCGAACGGAGCGGCGAACGGGUGAGUAAUGCAUCGGAAUGUGCCUGGUAGCGGGGGAUAACUACGCGAAAGGGUAGCUAAUACCGCAUACUAUCGGAGCAGCCGAGUUCGGAUUAGCUAGUUGGUGGGGUAAAGGCCUACCAAGGCGACGAUCCGUAGCUGGUUUGAGAGGAUGACCAGUCACACUGGGACUGAGACACGGCCCAGACUCCUACGGGAGGCAGCAGUGGGGAAUAUUGGACAAUGGGCGAAAGCCUGAUCCAGCCAUCCCGCGUGUGCGAUGAAGGCCUUCGGAUUGUAAAGCACUUUAAGUAGGGAGGCGGUACCAACAGAAUAAGCACCGGCUAACUUCGUGCCAGCAGCCGCGGUAAUAC
rnacentral:rRNA from 1 species